rnacentral:rRNA from 1 species
AUUGAACGCUGGCGGCAGGCCUAACACAUGCAAGUCGAGCGAGCGGCGGACGGGUGAGUAAUGUAUGGGGAACUGCCCGAUAGAGGGGGAUAACUACUGGAAACGGUGGCUAAUACCGCAUACUAUCGGAUGAACCCAUAUGGGAUUAGCUAGUAGGUGGGGUAAUGGCUCACCUAGGCGACGAUCCCUAGCUGGUCUGAGAGGAUGACCAGCAACACUGGAACUGAGACACGGCCCAGACUCCUACGGGAGGCAGCAGUGGGGAAUAUUGCACAAUGGGCGCAAGCCUGAUGCAGCCAUGCCGCGUGUAUGAAGAAGGCCUGAGGGUUGUAAAGUACUUUCAGCGAGGAGGCGUUACUCGCAGAAGAAGCACCGGCUAACUCCGUGCCAGCAGCCGCGGUAAUAC